AUGAGUGGGGGGAGGGGCAGAGGCAGAGGGAGAGAGAGAGAGAGAGAAUCUCAAGCAGACUCCCCACUCAGCACAGAGCCUGAUGCGGGGCUCCGUCUCACAACCCUGGCAUCAGGACCUGAGCCGAAAUCAAGAGUCAGUCACUCAACCAACGGAGCCACCCAGGCACCCCCAGGUGGCAGAAUUUUCAAGACACACGAAGAGUUUGGGAAGAAGGAACUACCUUUUGGAGCAGGACAUCAUCCAGCUCAGAGAUCCCUGGACCAAAUCUGGAUGGUCACUCAAAGCUGCUUGCCCAUUCCACACGGCUGCAGUUCCUUCUGCCCAACCCAUAUCCCUGAGCCCCCUACGUGUGGAAUCUGCCAGGAUUCUAAAUCCAAAGAUGGAUUUAACUGUCAGCCUGGCAAUCUCAAGAUUUAGAGAAAAUGAAAAGAGCUUUUUUCCCCCUACUUACAAAUAAGAUCAAAGAUACCUAAGUUAAGAGGGCAAAUUAUCUGAGGUUUUCAUACCUUGUUGGAAAGAGAACUGGUACCAGCAUCCUAACUCUGGGUCUGGAGCUCUUCGGCAGUCCUCCUCCUCAUCAGUAUGACUUUCUCCUUUGGCUGGCAAGAAUAUUGUUGAGCAAGUUAAUGUUCAGAACACAUGAGUUUAAAGGAAUUUUUCACCUCAGCCAAGAUUUCUUUAGACUGAACAUCUGAAUGUGGAGCUCAGGAAAAAGCACAAGGAGAGAUGGUUGGCUUCGGUUCAUUUCCAGUGAGUCAAAAGUGCUAUAAAAAAUAGAAGGAUAGGGAUAAUUGUGCCGUGCACGUCAG
rnacentral:lncRNA from 1 species